CCUACGGGUGGCAGCAGUGGGGAAUAUUGGGCAAUGGAGGAAACUCUGACCCAGCCACGCCGCGUGAAUGAUGAAGGUCUUCGGGUUGGAAAGUUCUGUGAUGGGGGGUGAACACAAUGACGGUACCCCAAUAGCAAGCCACGGCUAAGUACGUGCCAGCAGCAGCGGUAAUACGGAGGUGGCAAGCGUUAUCCGGAAUGAAUGGGCGUAAAGGGUGCGUAGGUGGUUUAGUAAGUUGGCGGUGUAAUUCCGGGGCUCAACCUUGGAGCUACCGCCAAAACUAGUAGACUAGAGUGCAGGAGGGGUAAGUGGAAUUCCUAGUGUAGCGGUGGAAUGCGUAGAUAUUAGGAGGAACUUCAGGGGCGAAGGCGACUUACUGGACUGUAACUGACACUGAGGCACGAAAGCGUGGGGAGCAAACAGGAUUAGAUACCCUAGUAGUC
rnacentral:rRNA from 1 species